rnacentral:rRNA from 1 species
GAUGAACGCUGGCGGCGUGCCUAAUACAUGCAAGUCGAGCGAACAGACGAGGAGCUUGCUCCUCUGACGUUAGCGGCGGACGGGUGAGUAACACGUGGAUAACCUACCUAUAAGACUGGGAUAACUUCGGGAAACCGGAGCUAAUACCGGAUAAUAUAUUGAACCGCAUGGUUCAAUAGUGAAAGACGGUUUUGCUGUCACUUAUAGAUGGAUCCGCGCUGCAUUAGCUAGUUGGUAAGGUAACGGCUUACCAAGGCAACGAUGCGUAGCCGACCUGAGAGGGUGAUCGGCCACACUGGAACUGAGACACGGUCCAGACUCCUACGGGAGGCAGCAGUAGGGAAUCUGCCGCAAUGGGCGAAAGCCUGACGGAGCAACGCCGCGUGAGUGAUGAAGGUCUUCGGAUCGUAAAACUCUGUUAUUAGGGAAGAACAAAUGUGUAAGUAACUAUGCACGUCUUGACGGUACCUAAUCAGAAAGCCACGGCUAACUACGUG